AAGUGCCUUUGGACUCAUCUUCGGAAAAGCACAUGAACUCUUUGGAGUCUCCCGUUCCACUUGGUAAAUUUCCUAUAGCCACGCACUGUAAGUCCCUGCUGCCCUCCUUCCUCUGAGCUUGUGGGGCCCACAGAUCCCCUGCUCCACUUCCUGCUUCAUUUCAGCUGACGGAUGACACUCCCUCGUUCUAAUACCAUCUGAAUGCCUGAGCAAUUACAUCUUACAACCUCAUGAAAAACACAGCAGCUUGUCAUGAUGAAUGAUGUUACCGUGAAUAAUGCAGUUUUGAGUUCAAACUCCUUCUUAUUCCAAGAAUGAGUAAAUAUCCCUAUUCCCUCCCCUCCCCAUUGCAUUUGGGUUUGACAUGACAUGAAUCAUUGUGGUUUUACUCCUGGGUAGAAUUGUUUUUCUGUAUUGCAUUGCCAACCGAUGGAAGGACAAAAAAGGAACCUUACCAAUGAGCAGUUUCAGAUGAACUUAAACUCUCAGAAAUCUUGAAGAAUGAAUGAACUACAACUUUUCGAAGUUGCAAAAAUGUUCAAGUCAGAAGUGACCCAUGGGAAGCAACCUGGUCCUUAAUUAGGACUGGAAAGAAAACGGAGGCCCAGCGAGGGAACAGUGGCUUCCCCAAGGUCACACUGCAAGUAAGUGGUGGCACUAGUCACCCAGCAGUCCUCCUGACUCCACGGUAUCCUGACCCCAGACCAGCAGCCUUAUUUGUGGUUAAAGAACGUGGAAAAACAGCUUAUGUUUGAAUUUUAAAAUAAUGCCGGUACUAAAGAUCUACAUUCCAUGAAUAUUGAGCUUUGCUGUGUGCGGAUUGCUAUGAAUUUUGUAACUAUUUUCUCUAAGAGCUCUCAGUAUUUUACAUAUACAAUUCCAUUCUUUAUUGUCCAGGGAAAAAGUUGCAUUUACUGAGCAGUAAGAGGGUGAUUUGAAGUCCCUGGGGACCCCCACCCUUGUCUUUCUAUGUGAGAUUGUAUUUAUUCUCUUCAGCAGCUCAUUGCACAGAUAGUGUAUUUAUUGAGCAUCUACUGUGUGCCAGGAGCUAUGUGGUAAGCUAAGCAGACAAAAACUCCUGCUCUCACAAGAAGAAAGGAUUAACAAGCAGACAGUUGCA